rnacentral:lncRNA from 1 species
GGUGCCUCUAUAACAAACUCUAGAUUUGAUUCCCCAAUCAAAUAUGGUACUGUAUUUUUACUCCAAGGUAUCUGAUUUUCUACCUCACGAACUUCAUCAAGUUCGAUCUUAGUGGCAUCAGUUUCUUCUCUAAGGAACUCUCUUUCAAAAAAGACUGUCCUAUUGCUGACAAACACCUUUUGCUCUUCGAUAAGGUAGAAAUAGUAUCCUUUUAUUUAUUUUGGAUAUCCUACAAAUAAACACUUAUCGGACCUGAGUCCAAGCUUAUCUGUCUUUAAGU